GUCUGUAAGACAUUUUCUUGACUGCUAAUUGAUGAGGAGGGCCCAGUCCGGUACCAUCCCUAGGCAGGAGGGUCUGGUCUAUAUAAGAAAAGCAAGCCCGCAAGCAGUGCUCCUCCACAGUGUCUGCUUCAAGCGCCUGCCUUGACUUCCUGGAUGAUGGACUGAAAAUUCAGGGCGUCUUAGAAGACAAGAAGCCUGACUUCUAAGCCCCUCCCCAGUUCCAUUUCCUUAAGAACGAAAUGUUCAACAAUAACAGCAGAAAGAGAAAUGCAACACUGUCCUCAAUGAUACAGGAAAUCUGAGAGCAGCCUACUGGACCUAUGCGUGCAUUUAUUCUUUCAGGAUCAAAACUAUCCCUGAUCUUGGGCACAAGAGACAUCUCAGAAGCUAAAACCUGCCCUUGGUUUGACCACCAAUAUAAAAGACCUACAACUUCUAAUUGGCUUAAUCAGCAUGUUUGUCAUGGACUUAUUUGGGUGAGGGAGAGAGAGGAGAGAGGGCUUUAAUGAAGCACACCUUUGGGUAUGUCGGUUAGUGUGACUGAGGAAGACCCUUUUCCGCGGAGGAAGGCAGAGAGCACCGUUCCCACGGUUUGGGGUCCUGGGCUGAACAGAAAGAGGAAGAGGAGAAGGCCAGGUAAGUAUGCCCGUCUUUCCCACAUCUCUGCUUCCUGAUCAUGAGAUGCGGAGUCCCAGAAGCGUACUUCCACUGCAAUGGAGCUACCUGCAGCCACGACUUCCCUGGCCUGACAAACUUACACCCACCAAACCACAAAUCAGAACACACCUGUCUUCCCUGAAGUCACUUCUUGUCACAAAUGCAAUCACUGCAAUGAAAAAAACAAACCAACCCCUAAGCUGCAUGCAGUGAAGUGGUCCGGGAAGAAUUAGACAGAUGUUUGCCAGCCACGGAAGGCAGGAAAGAGGAACAGGCCGAAGGGCUGGCAGGGGUUCCGGGGAAGAGGGCAGCUGCUAUUUCCAGCCCUCUUACUCGUGCCUGACUCUGUUGCAAAUGAGCUUUGUCCUGAUCCCAUGAGGAGCCAACCUGAGAUGGAGCUUCACCCCACAGGUGGCACUUGCAAUGAGGGUGGAACCCAGGUGCAGUGUCUUCGGAAGCAGGAACUGACACUCAUCUGUUAAUUAGAAAAAUCUUUAGCUUUUGCUUUCUUUUCCCCAAUUUGCUCCUCUUUAGCUUUGCCAAAUAUGGUGGCUCAUGCUUGUAAUCUUAGCACUUGAGAGACCGAGACAGGAGUAUGACAAAUUUGAGGUCAGCCUAAGCUACCUUUCGAGACUCUAUUUCAAAACCACCAAGCAAACAGCAGGAAAAAACAAAAAAGCAAAAACAUAAUUAUCUCUAUGGUUAAGAAAAAUCAAUGUAGAAAUAAAAAACUGAAAUUCUCCACCCAAUGAACAAUCAUUGGCAAAUGUCCUUCCAGGAUAACAAUGCCCAGAGGUGGGCGUCUGUUUGCUAUUUAAUAGACAUGUGGUCACAGUCUAUGUGGCAGUCUGCUACCUGUCAGUUAUGUAUUCUCAUUCUCUGUGGUAGCAGGACUCUUGGCAAUGUGCCUAAGAGAACAAUUUACUCUCAAGGUUCCUUAACAGAUAGGUGUGGAGGGUAGCAUGUGGUUGGUGAGGUUCGUGCAACAGCUGCUGUGGCCUUUCCCCUGGGAUUCCCUUGUAAUGAGGGCCAAAGAGAGCCCCUAGGACGUGGGUACAUUAGAGUCCGACCUUGGUUCCCAAGGGUCCCUCUUCCCUGGUCAUUCCUUGACAUCCUGGUGGCCCAGUCCUUUGCACUGCCCUUCACACCUGUGACAGCCUUCUGGUCUUCACUUUUCCCAGAGCAUAACUGGGUCUUAUGGGUGGUGGAGCAAAGGGACAGACAGAUCCCAAACUUCUAGCCAGUUCAAUGAGCUGACACAGACUUGUGUCUAUUUUAUGAGUAGAAUAAACCAUUAGUCCAUUUAAAAUAUAA